UACGUAGGGUGCAGGCGUUAAUCGGAAUUACUGGGCGUAAAGCGUGCGCAGGCGGUCUUUUAAGUCAGAUGUGAAAUCCCCGGGCUUAACCUGGGAACUGCGUUUGAAACUGGAAGGCUUGAGUGUGGCAGAGGGGGGUGGGAAUUCCACGUGUAGCAGUGAAAUGCGUAGAGAUGUGGAGGAAUACCGAUGGCGAAGGCAGCCCCCUGGGAUAACACUGACGCUCAUGCACGAAAGCGUGGGGAGCAAACAGG
rnacentral:rRNA from 1 species